rnacentral:misc_RNA from 1 species
AAAGUCGUAACAAGGUUUCCGUAGGUGAACCUGCGGAAGGAUCAUUACCGAAGUACAGGCCCCUUCGGGGGCUAAACUUCCACCCUUUGUUUAUCACACUUUGUUGCUUUGGCGAGACGCCCCUGGGCCACCGGCUUCGGCUGGUGAGUGCUCGCCGGAGAAAACCCAAACCCAAACCUUUUUUAGUGUUGUCUGAGAACUAUUUUAAUAAUUAAAACUUUCAACAACGGAUCUCUUGGCUCUG